AUGUUUCCGUUCAAGUUUAAGAGGAAGCAAUUUCCUAUAAGACUUAGCUUUGCUAUGACCAUUAACAAGGCUCAAGGGCAGACAAUCCCUAUUGUUGGUGUCUACCUCCCCAAUCCUGUGUUCUCUCAUGGUCAACUCUAUGUUGCUUUGUCUCGAGCCACCGCGAAGAGAAACAUAAAGAUACUCAUUCAGAAGGAGAAGCCGAAGGAGAAACCCAAGAAGCAAAAGGACAAUUCAAAGAAGCGAAAAAGAUCGAUCGUGUCCUUACUGACCUCGAUGAAGAACAUCGUCUACAAGGAAGUCCUUACAGGCUGA
rnacentral:rRNA from 1 species